rnacentral:rRNA from 1 species
AUUGAACGCUGGCGGCAGGCCUAACACAUGCAAGUCGAGCGGAUGAAGGGAGCUUGCUCCUGGAUUCAGCGGCGGACGGGUGAGUAAUGCCUAGGAAUCUGCCUGGUAGUGGGAGAUAACGUCCGGAAACGGGCGCUAAUACCGCAUACGUCCUGAGGGAGAAAGUGGGGGAUCUUCGGACCUCACGCUAUCAGAUGAGCCUAGGUCGGAUUAGCUAGUUGGUGGGGUAAAGGCCUACCAAGGCGACGAUCCGUAACUGGUCUGAGAGGAUGAUCAGUCACACUGGAACUGAGACACGGUCCAGACUCCUACGGGAGGCAGCAGUGGGGAAUAUUGGACAAUGGGCGAAAGCCUGAUCCAGCCAUGCCGCGUGUGUGAAGAAGGUCUUCGGAUUGUAAAGCACUUUAAGUUGGGAGGAAGGGCAGUAAGUUAAUACCUUGCUGUUUUGACGUUACCAACAGAAUAAGCACCGGCGAACUUCGU